rnacentral:rRNA from 1 species
AGAGUGAACGCUGGCUGCGUGCCUAACACAUGCAAGUCGAACGAGAACGGAACUAGCUUGCUAGUUUGUCAGCUAAGUGGCGCACGGGUGAGUAAUAUAUAGUUAAUCUGCCCCAAAGAAGAGAAUAAUUGUUGGAAACGACUUGUAAUGCUCUAUAUGCCUUUAUCACAUAAGUGAGCAAGGGAAACAUUUAUGGCUUUGGGAUGAGACUGUACGGUAUCAGCUAGUUGGUGAGGUAAUGGCUCACCAAGGCUAUGACAUCUAACUGGUUUGAGAGGAUGAUCAGUCACACUGGAACUGAGACACGGUCCAGACUCCUACGGGAGGCAGCAGUGGGGAAUAUUGCACAAUGGACGAAAGUCUGAUGCAGCAACGCCGCGUGGAGGAUGACACAUUUCGGUGCGUAAACUCCUUUUAUAUGAGAAUAUAAUGACGGUAUCAUAUGAAUAAGCACCGGCUAACUCCGUGCCAGCAGCCGCGGUAAUACGGGGGGUGCAAGCGUUACUCGGAAUCACUGGGCGUAAAGAGCAUGUAGGCUGGUUUGUAAGUUGGAAGUGAAAUCCUAUGGCUUAACCAUAGAACUGCUUCCAAAACUGCAGACCUAGAAUAUGGGAGAGGUAGAUGGAAUUUCUGGUGUAGGGGUAAAAUCCGUAGAGAUCAGAAGGAAUACCGAUUGCGAAGGCGAUCUACUGGAACAUUAUUGACGCUGAGAUGCGAAAGCGUGGGGAGCAAACAGGAUUAGAUACCCUGGUAGUCCACGCCCUAAACGAUGCACACUAGUUGUUGCCUUGCUCGACAAGGCAGUAAUGCAGUUAACA